rnacentral:rRNA from 1 species
ACUCCUACGGGAGGCAGCAGUGGGGAAUCUUGGACAGUGGGCGCAAGCCUGAUCCAGCCAUGCCGCGUGAGUGAAGAAGGCCUUCGGGUUGUAAAGCUCUUUUGUCAGGGACGAUAAUGACGGUACCUGAAGAAUAAGCCCCGGCAAACUUCGUGCCAGCAGCCGCGGUAAU